AGAUUUCUUCGGGGCAGGGUGUAAUUCCCGACCGACGGUGACAACGUUAUGUGGCGUUGAAGUCCGUGACCCGCGUUUAGCGGUGGACCCAGUGUGAGUCUGGGACCGACAGUAAAGUCUGGAUGGGAGAAGAAAAAA
rnacentral:ncRNA from 2 species